rnacentral:rRNA from 1 species
AUUGAACGCUGGCGGCAUGCCUUACACAUGCAAGUCGAACGGUAACAGGUCUUCGGAUGCUGACGAGUGGCGAACGGGUGAGUAAUACAUCGGAACGUGCCCGAUCGUGGGGGAUAACGAAGCGAAAGCUUUGCUAAUACCGCAUACGAUCUACGGAUGAAAGCAGGGGACCGCAAGGCCUUGCGCGAACGGGGGGGCCGAUGGCAGAUUAGGUAGUUGGUGGGAUAAAAGCUUACCAAGCCGACGAUCUGUAGCUGGUCUGAGAGGACGACCAGCCACACUGGGACUGAGACACGGCCCAGACUCCUACGGGAGGCAGCAGUGGGAAAUUUUGGACAAUGGGCGAAAGCCUGAUCCAGCCAUGCCGCGUGCAGGAUGAAGGCCUUCGGGUUGUAAACUGCUUUUGUACGGAACGAAAAGACUCUGGUUAAUACCUGGGGUCCAUGACGGUACCGUAAGAAUAAGCACCGGCUAACUACGUGCCAGCCGCCGCAGUAACAC